CCUUCGAUAGCUCAGUUGGUAGAGCGGAGGACUGUAGAGAGAUCACUUUGGACAUCCUUAGGUCGCUGGUUCGAAUCCGGCUCGAAGGA
rfam:Cricetulus griseus cell line CHO-K1, whole genome shotgun sequence.